GACGAACGCUGGCGGCGUGCCUAAUACAUGCAAGUUGAGCGCUGAAGGUUGGUACUUGUACCAACUGGAUGAGCAGCGAACGGGUGAGUAACGCGUGGGGAAUCUGCCUUUGAGCGGGGGACAACAUUUGGAAACGAAUGCUAAUACCGCAUAAAAACUUUAAACACAAGUUUUAAGUUUGAAAGAUGCAAUUGCAUCACUCAAAGAUGAUCCCGCGUUGUAUUAGCUAGUUGGUGAGGUAAAGGCUCACCAAGGCGAUGAUACAUAGCCGACCUGAGAGGGUGAUCGGCCACAUUGGGACUGAGACACGGCCCGAACUCCUACGGGAGGCAGCAGUAGGGAAUCUUCGGCAAUAGACGAAAGUCUGACCGAGCAACGCCGCGUGAGGGAAGAAGGUUUUCGGAUCGUAAAACUCUGUUGGUAGAGAAGAACGUUGGUGAGAGUGGAAAGCUCAUCAAGUGACGGUAACUACCCAGAAAGGGACGGCUAACUACGUG
rnacentral:rRNA from 1 species